rnacentral:rRNA from 1 species
GGGGAAUAUUGCGCAAUGGGCGAAAGCCUGAUCCAGCAAUGCCGCGUGUGUGAAGAAGGCCUGCGGGUUGUAAAGCACUUUAAGCGGGGAAGAAAGGCGGGAGGCUAAUACCCUCUUGCACUGACGUUACCUGCAGAAUAAGCACCGGCUAACUCCGUGCCAGCAGCCGCGGUAAUACGGAGGGUGCGAGCGUUAAUCGGAAUUACUGGGCGUAAAGCGCGCGUAGGCGGUUUGUUAAGUCAGCUGUGAAAGCCCUGGGCUCAACCUGGGAAUGGCAGUUGAUACUGGCGAGCUUGAGUGUGGUAGAGGGGUGUGGAAUUUCCGGUGUAGCAGUGAAAUGCGUAGAGAUCGGAAGGAACACCAGUGGCGAAGGCGGCACCCUGGACCAACACUGACGCUGAGGUGCGAAAGCGUGGGGAGCAAAC